GAUUCUCCAGAUAAAAUUGCCAGAUCCCUGUUUAGCAGAAAGAAAAGCUGAGGACUGAUUUACCCAAAAAGGUGUCUGGACUUCAACUACCCAACAUUGUGAAGAGCGAUCCUCCUUUCUGCUGAAGUGAGGCAUGAUCCACCCACAUUCAGCUAUAAAGCAGGGUGGGGUGGAAGAAGGAGCGUCCUCCAUCUUCUGCUUCCUCUUCCAUUCCGCUUGCGAAGACAGUGUGAAGAAGAAAGCACGGUGAACGGCACAGAUUUUCAGCUCCAACUUAGCAAGCUGCGGUGAUGAGGCAACAGCGUUGGUAACGGCAGCUACAGUUCUUCAAACCUCAACAAAAUGGGCUAUGAAAGUCAAUAUCAUCACCACCACCCCCGCCCAAAUAGAUAGGUCUGUUUUGGUCAGAAACAUAUGAAAUUCAGUAUUGGUGAGAAAAGGUCCUAUCUGAAAAGGUAAGGAGUGGGAGACGGGAGGGCAAGUGAAAGCAGAAGAAAGAGGAAGGCAAUGAACCUCUCAGAAGUAGGAUGGAGUGCAGAGAGGACAGAAAAGGUAUGAGUUUGAAGCAGAAUGCAGAAGAGGCUACAAAGGAAAAAAAAUCUUCUGAAGUUCUCACAGGGCUCCUUCAAAAUAGAAUCAGUUUAGAAGAGGUAAUAAAGAACUAAAGAUUUUGUGUGUUUUUAUCACAAUCUAUACUCCUCCUCCUCCUCCUUCCAUU